UUGGCCUCUUUACGGCAAUGAGGGCUGCGGGUGGGCAGGAUGGCUCCUGUCACCCCGCGGCUCUCGGCCGUCUUGGGGCCC
rfam:Hepatitis C virus isolate QC382, complete genome